rnacentral:rRNA from 1 species
UACUAUCAUGCUGUUUCUCAUUUUACACAUGCAAGUCUCAGCACCCCAGUGAGAACGCCCUUUUAACCUACACCAGGAGAAGGAGCUGGCAUCAGGCACAAUCCCUGCCCAUAACACCUAGUCUCACCACACCCCCAAGGGUAAUCAGCAGUGAUAAAUCUUAAAUAUAAGCGACAGCUUGAUUUAGUUAGAGAAAAGAGGGCCGGCUAACCCGGUGCCAGCCGCCGCGGCUACACCGUGGGGCCCGAGCUGAUAGUCACCGGCGUUAAGCGUGAUUAAAGCCCUCAACAAUUAGGGUUAAAUUAAUAUUUAGUAGUGAUAAGCUUGUUAUUAAGAAAACCAUAAACGAAAGUUACCCUAAUUACACUUGAAUCCACGACAACUGGGAAAACAAACUGGGAUUAGAUA